CCUACGGGGUGCAGCAGUGGGGGAUAUUGCACAAUGGGGGAAACCCUGAUGCAGCGACGCCGCGUGUGGGAAGACGGUCUUCUGGAUUGUAAACCACUGUCCCCAGGGACGAAAAUGACGGUACCUGGGGAGGAAGCUCCGGCUAACUACGUGCCAGCAGCCGCGGUAAUACGUAGGGAGCAAGCGUUGUCCGGAAUUACUGGGUGUAAAGGGAGCGUAGGCGGGGAUGCAAGUUGGGUGUCAAAACUACCGGCUCAACCGAUAGUCGCACUCAAAACUGCAGCUCUUGAGUGAAGUAGAGGCAGGCGGAAUUCCUAGUGUAGCGGUGAAAUGCGUAGAUAUUAGGAGGAACACCAGUGGCGAAGGCGGCCUGCUGGGCUUUGACUGACGCUGAGGCUCGAAAGUGUGGGGAGCAAACAGGAUUAGAUACCCUUGUAGUC
rnacentral:rRNA from 1 species